GAAAAAUGUGCUCUAUACAAUUGUCAAGAUGAAACAUUGUAUGGAGC
rfam:Fusobacterium mortiferum ATCC 9817 genomic scaffold supercont2.7, whole genome shotgun sequence.